rnacentral:rRNA from 1 species
CAAAUAUGAAGGCGGGCUGGAACCUCUCGGGGUUACAGCCUUGCUGAAUUAUUCACCCUUGUCUUUUGCGUACUUCUUGUUUCCUUGGUGGGUUCGCCCACCACUAGGACAAACAUAAACCUUUUGUAAUUGCAAUCAGCGUCAGUAACAAAUUAAUAAUUACAACUUUCAACAACGGAUCUCUUGGUUCUGGCAUCGAUGAAGAACGCAGCGAAAUGCGAUAAGUAGUGUGAAUUGCAGAAUUCAGUGAAUCAUCGAAUCUUUGAACGCACAUUGCGCCCUUUGGUAUUCCAAAGGGCAUGCCUGUUCGAGCGUCAUUUGUACCCUCAAGCUUUGCUUGGUGUUGAGCGUCUUGUCUCUAGCUUUGCUGGAGACUCGCCUUAAAGUAAUUGGCAGCCGGCCUACUGGUUUCGGAGCGCAGCACAAGUCGCACUCUCUAUCAGCAAAGGUCUAGCAUCCAUUAAGCCUUUUUUUUCAACUUUUGACCUCGGAUCAGGUAGGGAUACCCGCUGAACUUAAGCAUAUCAAUA